CGAAGCGGUGACGUGGAGCGAAUCGCGAAAAGACCGCCCCAGUUCAGAUUGCGGGCUGCAACCCGCCUGCAUGAAGUCGGAAUUGCUAGUAAUCGCGGAUCAGCAUGCCGCGGUGAAUACGUUCCCGGGUCUUGUACACACCGCCCGUCACACCAUGGGAGUCGGAAAUGCCCGAAGCCGGUGACUCAACCUUUAAGGAGAGAGCCGUCGAAGGCAGGUCUGAUAACUGGGGUGAAGUCGUAACAAGGUAAC
rnacentral:rRNA from 1 species